rnacentral:rRNA from 1 species
AGUGAACGCUGGCGGUAGGCCUAACACAUGCAAGUCGAACGGCAGCACAGGAGAGCUUGCUCUCUGGGUGGCGAGUGGCGGACGGGUGAGGAAUACAUCGGAAUCUACCUUUUCGUGGGGGAUAACGGAGGGAAACUUACGCUAAUACCGCAUACGAUCUGCGGGUGAAAGCAGGGGACCUUCGGGCCUUGCGCGGAUAGAUGAGCCGAUGUCGGAAUAGCUAGUUGGGGAGGUAAAGGCCCACCAAGGCGACGAUCCGUAGCUGGUCUGAGAGGAUGAUCAGCCACCCUGGAACUGAGACACGGUCCAGACUCCUACGGGAGGCAGCAGUGGGGAAUAUUGGACAGUGGGCGCAAGCCUGAUCCAGCCAUACCGCGUGGGUGAAGAAGGCCUUCGGGUUGUAAAGCCCUUUUGUUGGGAAAGAAAAGCAGUCGGUUAAUACCCGGUUGUUCUGACGGUACCCAAAGAAUAAGCACCGGCUAACUUCGUG